CUUGGGAGCGCGCGCUGCCCCUCACUUGGCUGCAACUGGACCCAGAACUAGGGAAGAGGCCAGGGACAGAUUUUUUUUUUUUAUUUUUAUUUUUUUUGCCGAGGGACGUUUCAAAAUUUUGCACGGCCAGGGUGACAAAAAGAGGAUUUAAGAGCCACAAGCGGUCCGCACAUGACCCAGACUUCGUUCCUGUGCGGCUUCCAGAGGUGUUCAUGCAGAAGACUGGAUGCAGGACCCUUGGUGGCACCAGUGUGCAGAUGAGCAGAUAGUGACUGAUUGCCACUGGGAUGAAAUUUUUAAAAAAGAACCUUGAAGUCUGUGAGUGACCAAUCAAAGAUGAAAAUUAAUAAUGGAAGACCUGGGAUAUACAAUCAAGUCUAAAGCCUAGAUAUCUGGUUAUUUUAGAAAAGCUUCAUAGGCAAGUGUCAGUGGAGCUGUGUUAUUUGAGCUGAGCUGCACCUUGAAGAACCAAAAAAAUUAUAAAUGGACAAAUAAGACCAAGUGCCUACACCAAAAGAAUUCUAAUGCUUAGAAGAGUUGCAGAAUAAAAUAUGUUGCAUGGGAUGUCAAUAGUAAAGGUCAAGAUAGAGGACAAAGAAACACAGAGGAAGGAGGUUAAUGGAAUGAGAGAAGAAAGUAUUUUUAGAGGAAGUUGAUAUUUCACCUGAGUUGUAAAAGGUAUGUAGGUAGAGAAGAAAGGUAAGUGAAAGGGGUAUAGAGCCACUUCUGACAGAGGGACUAGAGGUUACAGAGACAUUGAAAUGCAGGAUCACAAAAUCAUCAGAAAAUAGCAGGUAGUUCAUAAUGGCUGGAGCCUGGAACAGAGAUCCCAAUGCACAGGACGUGUGAGUGAGCCAGGGAAUUGGUGAGGGAGGAUGUGUACCCAUGAGAAAUGAGUCUUGUGAUUAGCAGCCAAAUGGACCUCAAAUGAAACUCUCCCCUUGACUCUAUUCACAGGAAUUUUCUAACCAUUAUCUUUUACCCCUCUUAUGCACACACAUGGAACUCAGUUACCAUAUAUACAUAUGUCAUUUUCAUUUAUUUUUAAUAUAUUUACACUUGGUUUAAACCAGGAACUAAUUAUUUCAUGGGAUGGAGCUUCUUAAGUGAAUAUAUCUUAAUGAGAGACCCUGAUCCUGUCUGCAGUUUUGCAGGAUCCGUAAUGUGAUUUGAUUACCUUCUCCAAGGAUGAGCAGGCCCUAGGGGACUGCAUCAGACUAAUGAAGCUUACAAAUCAACAAAUUUAAUGCCAAUAUUGGGUAAAGGAAAUGUCAUUUAGUGAGAACCUACUCCAUACAAUAGUAGACACUUCACUCAUAUUAUUUAAAUUAGUUGUCACUACAACACAGUGAUGUAGUUCUUUCUUUAUCCCAAUUUUAUAGAUGAGAAAUUCAAAUGAGAACAUUAAAUAAUCUCACCUCAUUUCAAAGCUACCAAGUUUUGAAGCAAAGAAUCAAACCUAAGAUUCUUUGAUGUCUACUUCAUGCAAUGGGCAGAGAAUACUCACAGUGGC
rnacentral:lncRNA from 1 species